AGGGUGAGGGAUGCGGAGGACACGAAGGCCAUCCUGACCUUUUGCACUAACAGUGGGCAAAGCAGGGAAAUGGCACGGCCUAGGGUUGGGGGGGUCCCAGCCCGAGACGGGGGCUCUGGGUGGACUACGGCAGAUCCCGCCGAGGGCCGGUGAGCCUGAAACGCCGGAGGCCUGCAGGCCGAGGUCGCGCUGGCGCGGCGCCUUGGAGCGCGAACGACCCGGCGGAGCGCGGGGUCCCAGCGCAGCGCGCCCCCAGCAGCCCUGCCCAGCGAGCGCCCGCCCGGGGAGCCGACCGCGGGGGCGGAGUGCGUCGCCCCGGGGGCUGAGCCCGGCCCGGGAGGGGCUCGCCCGGCGCGCCGGCCGGGAUCCCGGCUCCCCCGGGGGACAGGCCCGCGCCGCUGCGUGUGGAUGGAGCGCCCGCGUCUCAGCGCGGGGACGCCCGGGACGGAGCGCGGGGUGGGCCGGGGCCUCCGCUCCGGGGCUGCUGGACGGUAACCGGAUUGAGGGAGAACCAGGGCGAGGGCGGCUCCUUCUCCUUCGCCCUGCGUCAUUUUAGGUGUUUUGGGGGCGAGGAAGAAGGCGACGUGUAUAAUUUAUUGCUCUGUUUUGGACCUGGGGGAGGGCAAGUGUUUGUCGCGGUAUCUUGGAGCUGUUACACAACCUCAGUCUACCCAUAGAAGCAUCUUGGAAGACUUCUCACUGUGGAGAUUCCUGAAGAUGGUGUACUGAUGGUUCUGUCGGCUGAACGCCACUAGAAACUCUACUGACUCAGGCUUUCUGACUGUUGGAAUGGUUUUAGAUGGUCAUCCCAGAGAAUGAAGGCAUGCAUGACUCACAUGAAGCACUGGUUAUUAAAGACAAGUACCAACUUACAUUUGAAGUCCAAAGCCAGCAUUUGCUCAUUCUGAGGUGGGACUGGUGAACAUCCAUAAGUGACGUGGCUAUUUGGGAGUACUUUUGGUUGGGACACUGAAGCCAGAGCUCCAGAGGGUGGCUGAAACAGAAUAUCCCCCUGCUAAACAGACCAGUGAGAAGAAUUCCUCACUAUCAAAUUCUCAUCAACAAGUCUGACAGAAUUUGCGUCUCCUAAACCUACAUUUCCAAGGAGGUCAUAACAAUAUUUAUGGAAUAUGAGGCACAGAAUCUUAAGUUAAAAAAUAUUUUUCCAGGUCUUAUUUACACUGAACUCAAAUUAACUGUCAAAUAAGAAUACUGACAUAAGUAAGGUAUUUACUGCUAACUUGAAAACCUUCUUUACCAAAUAUGAUGGAACCAAAGAUACAAUGAAGCCGUGGCUAAGAAAACUCACCCCCUGUGAUUAAAUUUUAUUGAGUAUGAACAAUUUUUUUCUUGAUGUACAGACUCAAUUGUACUUUUCUACCCAACUGGAUAAAUAAAAGCUAAAAUAUAAUUUAUUUAACUCUUUUUGGAAAUAAAACUUCAACAUACCUUAAA